AGUGAACGCUGGCGGUAGGCCUAACACAUGCAAGUCGAACGGCAGCACAGUAAGAGCUUGCUCUUACGGGUGGCGAGUGGCGGACGGGUGAGGAAUACAUCGGAAUCUACUUUUUCGUGGGGGAUCACGUAGGGAAACUUACGCUAAUACCGCAUACGACCUACGGGUGAAAGCAGGGGAUCUUCGGACCUUGCGCGAUUGAAUGAGCCGAUGUCGGAUUAGCUAGUUGGCGGGGUAAAGGCCCACCAAGGCGACGAUCCGUAGCUGGUCUGAGAGGAUGAUCAGCCACACUGGAACUGAGACACGGUCCAGACUCCUACGGGAGGCAGCAGUGGGGAAUAUUGGACAAUGGGCGCAAGCCUGAUCCAGCCAUACCGCGUGGGUGAAGAAGGCCUUCGGGUUGUAAAGCCCUUUUGUUGGGAAAGAAAAGCAGCAGGUUAAUACCCCGCUGUUCUGACGGUACCCAAAGAAGAAGCACCGGCUAACUUCGUG
rnacentral:rRNA from 1 species